AUUUAAGUAAUUUAAUAUAAAAAUAUUGAUUUGUGGGGUCAAAUAUAUGGCAAAUUCCAUCUUAGAUA
rnacentral:tRNA from 1 species